rnacentral:rRNA from 1 species
AUUGAACGCUGGCGGCAUGCUUUACACAUGCAAGUCGAACGGUAACAGGGAGCUUGCUCCGCUGACGAGUGGCGAACGGGUGAGUAAUGCGUCGGAACGUGCCGAGUAGUGGGGGAUAACGCAGCGAAAGUUGUGCUAAUACCGCAUACGUACUGAGGUAGAAAGUGGGGGACCUUCGGGCCUCACGCUAUCCGAGCGGCCGACGUCUGAUUAGCUAGUUGGUGAGGUAAAGGCUCACCAAGGCGACGAUCAGUAGCGGGUCUGAGAGGAUGAUCCGCCACACUGGGACUGAGACACGGCCCAGACUCCUACGGGAGGCAGCAGUGGGGAAUUUUGGACAAUGGGCGCAAGCCUGAUCCAGCCAUGCCGCGUGUCUGAAGAAGGCCUUCGGGUUGUAAAGGACUUUUGUCCGGGAGCAAAUACCCAGUGCUAAUAACGCUGGGGGCUGAGAGUACCGGAAGAAUAAGCACCGGCUAACUACGUGCCAGCCGCCGCCGUAAGAC